rnacentral:rRNA from 1 species
AGUGAACGCUGGCGGUAGGCCUAACACAUGCAAGUCGAACGGCAGCACAGUAAGAGCUUGCUCUUACGGGUGGCGAGUGGCGGACGGGUGAGGAAUACAUCGGAAUCUACUUUUUCGUGGGGGAUAACGUAGGGAAACUUACGCUAAUACCGCAUACGACCUACGGGUGAAAGCAGGGGAUCUUCGGACCUUGCGCGAUUGAAUGAGCCGAUGUCGGAUUAGCUAGUUGGCGGGGUAAAGGCCCACCAAGGCGACGAUCCGUAGCUGGUCUGAGAGGAUGAUCAGACACACUGGAACUGAGACACGGUCCAGACUCCUACGGGAGGCAGCAGUGGGGAAUAUUGGACAAUGGGCGAAAGCCUGAUCCAGCAAUACCGCGUGAGUGAAGAAGGCCUUCGGGUUGUAAAGCCCUUUUGUUGGGAAAGAAAAGCAGCAGGUUAAUACCCCGCUGUUCUGACGGUACCCAAAGAAUAAGCACCGGCUAACUUCGUG